GCUAACGUCCGUCGUGAAGAGGGAAACAACCCAGACCGCCAGCUAAGGUCCCAAAGUCAUGGUUAAGUGGGAAACGAUGUGGGAAGGCCCAGACAGCCAGGAUGUUGGCUUAGAAGCAGCCAUCAUUUAAAGAAAGCGUAAUAGCUCACUGGUCGAGUCGGCCUGCGCGGAAGAUGUAACGGGGCUAAACCAUGCACCGAAGCUGCGGCAGCGACGCUUAUGCGUUGUUGGGUAGGGGAGCGUUCUGUAAGCCUGUGAAGGUGUGCUGUGAGGCAUGCUGGAGGUAUCAGAAGUGCGAAUGCUGACAUAAGUAACGAAAAAGGGGGUGAAAAGCCCGCUCGCCGGAAGACCAAGGGUUCCUGUCCAACGUUAAUCGGGGCAGGGUGAGUCGACCCCUAAGGCGAGGCCGAAAGGCGUAGUCGAUGGGA
rnacentral:rRNA from 1 species